rnacentral:lncRNA from 1 species
GGAGGAGGGUAAAGGAAUCCACGUCCCAAGCAGAGAAGCAGCUUUCCCUACACAGCACAGGACACGGUCCGCGCACAGAAGCCGCAGGAGACGCAGGCACAGGGGCUGGGGAGAAUCCUUGCUGGGCCCUCGCCGUCCAUGCGCCGCCUCCCUCUGCCCGGUGUCUGGUGUCAGCCUCCUGCCUGGCAGAGGAACUCCAGCCCCUGCUCCCCGAAGCUCCUCCAGGCCUUCUGCUUCCCUGACUCGGAAUGGGCCCGCUGUCCAGUGGGUACAAGGCUGGUCUCCCCGCCCACUGGUGACGACGUAAAGAUCCAGCUCAGCCUGGUUUCCCCUGGUGAUGAUAUCUUGCGACUCGUCUUUCUCCAGGAAAACAGGGACCGCUCUCCGCCUACAGGUCUCUUCCACAGACCUAUCUUGUUUUCACCCCCUGUCUCUUUUGGUUCAGUCUUUUCGCUCAUACAAACAAGGAAGUCGCCCCUAGCCCAGCCGCGGCUCCUUAGCUGGAGGCGGGCCCGGGGGUGGAGUCAACCGCGGUGGCCACGCCUCCUGGGAAAGGGCAGGGCAUGCAAAUUCGAAAUGAAAGCCCGGAAACCCCGGAACUAGAACUGGUAUCUCUUCAACUACCUGUGAAAACUGAUGUGAUGAAAAGGGGAAUUUGAAGGAGCCAUUCCAGAAGACAGGGCGAAAACUGAAGUGCAAUCAGGGCCAAGAAAAACAGAAAUAGCAGGACCUGGAGUUGCAUAGGUUGAAUAGUUGAAUAGGCUGCUCUCCUCAGCUGGCAGGAAACCUGGCAGCCUCCUGGUGCCCAAGGACUGAAAACCUUAGAAGCACCUGGAGUUGGCAGCCUUGGCAUGGUCAGGUUGGCACCUCUGGAGGUGCCCAGGCUUCCCUGGCAGCAUUGUGAGCAGUGGAUGGUGUUGAAGGGCAGCCAGAGGAGGAAUGGAACACAUGCUCCUUGCUAACCACACGGACAAGGCCACGUUCACAGGUACACAAAGGCAACGCAGUUGCUCAGGUGCUUCGGUAUCACAGCCAAGACCCCUUCGGGGGAAGCUAGUCGGAUACUGGGACCCACAUUCCAGACUACUGAGCCGCGGUCGCGCCCUCGGCUCCGUUUCUGCUCCCUCCACCCCACGAGGACGGGGGUGGAAGGCCACCUUCGAUGGGUGCAUCCUCCACGAUGACCUGCUAACAAAGGUGCAUGGAUUUCAGAGUCUGAUUGGCCUACAACAGCAUUUGGCUUGUGGAGACAGUGGUUCCCUGAUGAAAAACUGCCAUGAUGGGAAUAGAAACAAUCAGAGGAAACUUCCGUGAGUUCCCAGGACACAUCCACCCACCUCCUCCACGUGUAACCACCACCUCUACCUUCCCCUCUGGUGCUGUGGAUGAGCCAUCCGUGCUCCUGGCAAAGGCCCACCUGCCACUUGGGCACAGGAACCCAUCCAUCCCUCCUUACCUCUGGUAACUCUCCCUCUCUCUCUCCUGCAUCCUUCAUAUUCUCUGGGUUGUAUUCUCUUCCAGCCCCCACCCCCUGCCCACCUCCAGCAUGUAAAAGUGCUGUUAUUGUUUCCACUUUAAAACAAACCCUAAAA